rnacentral:rRNA from 1 species
AGGACGAACGCUGGCGGCGUGCUUAACACAUGCAAGUCGAGCGGAAAGGCCCUUCGGGGUACUCGAGCGGCGAACGGGUGAGUAACACGUGAGUAACCUGCCCCUAGCUCUGGGAUAGCUCCGGGAAACCGGGAUUAAUACCAGAUACGACCACUUUAGACAUCUGUCGUGGUGGAAAGGAUUCCGGCUAGGGAUGGGCUCGCGGCCUAUCAGCUUGUUGGUGGGGUAACGGCCUACCAAGGCGACGACGGGUAGCCGGCCUGAGAGGGCGACCGGCCACACUGGGACUGAGACACGGCCCAGACUCCUACGGGAGGCAGCAGUGGGAAUAUUGCGCAAUGGGCGAAAGCCCGACGCAGCGACGCCGCGUGGGGAUGAAGGCCUUCGGGUUGUAACCCCUUUCAGCAGGGACGAAGCGAAGUGACGGUACCUGCAGAAGAAGCGCCGGCUAACUACGCGCCAGCAGCCGC